CUGUAGCUCAGUGGUAGAGCAACUGCUUUGCAGGUGGAAAGUUCCAGCUUCAAUCCCUGGCAUCUGGA